rnacentral:rRNA from 1 species
UGAGGAAUAUUGGUCAAUGGGGGCAAGCCCUGAUCCAGCGACGCCGCGUGCGUGAAGAAGGCCUGCGGGUUGUAAAGCACUUUUAGUGGGGAUGAAAAGUGCAGAGAUAACACCUCUGCAUCUUGACCUAACCCACAGAAAAAGCACCGGCUAACUCUGUGCCAGCAGCCGCGGUAAUACGUAGGCAGCAAGCGUUGUUCGGAGUUACUGGGCGUAAAGAGUGCGUAGGUGGUGCCCUAAGUCUGUUGUGAAAUCUCCCGGCUUAACUGGGAGGGUGCGGUGGAAACUGGGGUGCUUGAGUGUGGGAGAGGUAAGCGGAAUUCCUGGUGUAGCGGUGAAAUGCGUAGAUAUCAGGAGGAACACCGGUGGUGUAGACGGCUUACUGGACCACGACUGACACUGAGGCACGAAAGCGUGGGUAGCAAACAGGAUUAGAUACCC